UCAGACAAAUUUGUCUUCAGAUCAUAUCAAGCUUUUGUCUUUUACUAAAGCCUUCUGUGGAGAGAAACAUUAAAGUUUUAAACUUUUAACCUUUUGUUUGUUUGUUUUGCUUGUAGACA